AGGAUUGACAAUAAGAUGUGGAUGUUCAUCUCUAAUGAACUCUAGUUACCAAAGUGGAAACCAGCUAACUUUGAUGGUGCGACUGACCACCUUCUCAGCAAUAGCUGAGUAUUUACUCCUUCUUGAAAUGAGCAAGCCUGUUAACUGUGAAAGUGAAGAGAUGAAGCAAGCAAAAAACAAAGAGAAGUGUGAAGAGCUUCGCUGCCAUAUCAUCUAUGACACUGUAUCAGCUCCUACUUUUAGGAUCGAUGAGUGAAUAGAUAACGACUGGUUGGUUGGUGACGGCACCGAGGCGGGAGGAGGUCGGUGAAGCAGACUGACGCAGCGCGAGAGCGUGGAGCCGACGGCGGUCCGGGACUCUCCGGGGGGAAGCACUGAACCUGCGGCUGGUUCUGCCCACCCCAACACAAGGUCCCUUCUCUGGGAGGCUCGAGGGUGAGGUGAUGCCCGCCGGAGUGGGACAAAGGGCAUGAUCAGAGCACCUCUAAAGUGCUUUUCUUCAUGAAGGCAAGGCAAGGCUGGAAGACAAGGAAGUGUGACCCAGUGAAGAAGCGUAUUCUCACAACGUGGCACUACGCUGGCAUCCGUGACUGUCAGCAAAACAGUUCUGACUGUCAAAGCUCAAGUGAAGAUAAGCUUACAAAAAGGUUAGUACACAUCCUGACUUGAUUUAUUUUUGAGUCCUUUUUGGCCCAGUUUCUUCCUCUCCACACUUCCUAGAACAACAAAAGGCCGGAGGCAGGUGUCAGGAUGGCACUGGUUUUUCUCAUUUAAUCUGUGAGGCACCAUAAAAAACAAUCAAUAAUCAUGGACCAUGCUCUGGAUUUGUCUAAGCAUAAGUGACUCAAAUACUAACACGUGAAUUUAGUAAAGUUAGAGUCUGUGGAGUGGAGAUAAAUUACUUCAGCAAUUGAAGUUGAAUGUGAUAUAGAAAUCCAACCAACAGAAGACUGUCUGGAAACAAUUAUUCAGAAAGCUGCUGACCCUCUAUUUCUUUAAAGAGUUAAACAUUUGGAUUGGUUAACUGGCAGCCGCAAUAAUAGGCAUAUGCUCUAAUCUUUGAUCCGUAGCUGAAUUUGCAACUCUUUGUAUGAGAAGCAGAUCACAUAGAUUUGCAUAUUUUUAAGGAUCUGUAGGGAGAAAAAGAAGAACAAAAACUGCUCUUCCAAGAUGCCACUUUGAGAUCACACAGAGUGUCAUGGGUCCCCCGAAGUACACUAAUGUUCAGAGCCAGUUGCAAGACUCACAGAUUUUAUAAAUGGCCCUAAACUGUGACAUGCACAUCUGAAGUUUAAUCAAAAUUCCUCCUAGAACAGAGAAUUGCAAGCCGAGGUUGUAUUGUAACUCUUCACAGAGGUAUGUAUGUCUGUCAUUAAGAUCUCAUUUCCACAUCCAAAUUUGUGUCAGAACUUUCCUAAAUCUGAAAGAGUCCAGAGGUAACAGAUAAGUUAGAAAAUGUUCUGUGACCAAAUGAGAAAAUGUUGUCCAGACUCAAAUGCAUGAGCCGGUAACAGAUUUCUGCCAAGGUCUUGACAUCAUCAUAGUUUUGGCAAAAUUUUCUGGUGGUGAUGAAAAUUCCACAGACACAAGACAACCAUGAAUCACCCCAUGGGUAGAAUGGAUGCUAACCAAACAAUUCUGUUUGUGUUCAAGGUUCAUUUCUUGCACAGCUCUGUUUUCAACACCAACUGAAAGAUGUUUACUAAUCACUCAUUUUGCAUCAACAGUCAUGCCUACACCACAGGAAAUUUCCUCCACUUGGUAGUAUUCCCCCAGAAAGUAGCUCCUACUGACAGAAGUGAGCACUAUAUUGAGUACUGUGAAGUGAAGAGGUAAUCAAUGGUCUCAAUUGUGGGAUGUUUCAACAUAGUCUUUGCUCGAUUUGAAAGGAACCCCCGUCACUUUACAAUAAGUUUUCUCCCCUGGUUCACCUAUGCAACACUGUUAGAUAUCCACAAAGAAGAUGACGGUAGUGGUUAUUUGUUAUUUGCCUAUGGAUACUUUCUAUACAUCCCAAACAAAAAUAUGGAUUACUGCAUGGGACUAUACAGAUAUGUGCAAGGAAGGCAGUGCAAAGAAGGCACUCUCCUAAAAAUGUUCUCUCGGGCUUUCUUAUAGUUCCAUGCAGUAAGCCAUAUGGGGGCAUGGAGGACUGGUAGCAAAGGUAGACUAGAAGCCCGAUUGACCCAGGAGGCAGUGCUUCCAGGGGCUAACUGCCUUGUCCUGUGGGCAGGCAAGACUUUGCAAAGUCUUGGCAAAAAUCCCACGAAGAGGAGAGGAAGGUGGUGCAGGUUCCUGGAUAAAGUGUAGUAAGAUGGUGAGGGGAUGCAAUGGUAUGCAGAAAGCUUCUUUUGAGAGUGAUCAGACCAUCGACAGGUGAACCAGAACCUGAGCCAACAACGUCUUCACUACCUUAAAGAGGGAGGGAGGGAGGGAAUAGAGAAAGAGAACAGCAUACAACUUUUAAUGAGAAAAAUUAACUGUGAAUGCAGAGGUUUUGAGAAGGGACCAGCCUGUGUCUGGACAGUGCACAUAUCCCACAGGUUAAGCAGACUCCAAGUGUAACGCAAAACCCAAGGCUAAGCUUCGCUACUUUUUGCACCUUGCAAACAGCAUUAGAGAUAAGAAGUGUUCUUCUGUCACCUGUAGUAAGUGGCUUUCCAAACUCUGGAAGCAUGGUGAAAAUAAAGGGCCAAGACUUGCCUUGCUUCUUUAUUAGGAUUGUUGUUUUCCUUUUACUAACACGAACAGAUGCUUUUCUUUCUGUGUUUUGUAUACCUUUGCGUGCUCCUUCCCAAAUGUCUCUAAAAGUUUUCUGAUCUCUUAGAAACUUACUUUUUACAGGAUUGUGUAACCUGCUUGUUUUAUGAGAAGGUAGGGUGCAAAAAUGGAGUAAUAGAAAUUGCCUUAAGUGCUGUAUAGUAUGAUUUCAGUUACUUCACUUAGUUAUUGCUAACCAUAUUUUAUAAAUACCCACACAUUAUAUUUGUUCUGGCCAUUGAGAUGAUACUUUCAAACCAACUGGAAAAUGUAUUGUGAUAUAUUUUGUCAAUGUAAUAUUAUAACUGUACAAAAUUGGUUAUAUCAGUUAGAAAAAACAUCUUAAAAGCUGCCUCUCUCCAGUUUAUUCUCUGUAUCUUAACUUUGUACAGCACUACAAGGCCAUUUGCUGAGAUUUUGCUCAUGCACUGUUAAGUGGGAUCCUAGCAUAUCACUACAUUCAGUCAAAAUAUUGAAAGAUAAAAUAAGCAUACCUAUUGGUGAUGAAAAUGAGACCAAGGAAGUAGAAUUUUUCUUUAUAUCAUGUAAAGCAAAAAAUCUGAAAAUCAUUUCAGUAAAAACAGAUUAGAAGUGGGAUGUUUGGGAGGCAUCGUCAUUAUUGUGGACCACAGUAAAAGAAAAAAAAAUUAUCAAAUCAGAAUAACACUAAAUUAACUUAGAUUAAAAAUGGCAAUGAACCAAGACAUUAACAAUGAGAUUAUGUCACCUUAGUGGUUUGGUCUAAGGCAAUUACCUACUCUCCUUCUGUAGUCAAGAGAGAGAGACUCCACCAGUAAGAGAGACCGAUUUUACUAUGGCCAUCUGAGAUACCGUCCUAAAAUGGCCACAAGAAACAGUUGAACUGAGUGAGAUCUGGAGGUGCCACCUGCAGUGGACAGAGAAAGAAAAGAGUCACCUGAGACUAGAUAGCUAAUUCUAAGGUUUUUUUCAUUUAUUUAAACAGAUGUGCUAGGGAUGAGCAUGCCUGUUUGUAUCUUGAUACAGAUUUCAUAGACAGGACUUCAACUGACAGCUCUGGAAUUAUGGAUCUUGAGACAUAUUUAACAUCAACCUAGAAGGGUUAGGAAGUUCAGGGUCUUUUAUCUAUUCCCAAAAGCCAGUGAGAAAGUAGAGCUGUUUGGUGUCAGUUUUUUCUUCUUCACUUAAAAUAAGAAAGUUAGUGAAAUAAGGAUACCCACCACUCUUUCUGAAAGCUAGGACAACCUCAAAAAUGGCAGAAAAACUUUUCUCAUUGAUGGAGGAAGCCAUGGAACUGGUUUCAGAUAUAGUUUCCAUAUCUGUGCCUUAGGCAAUUAUAGUUAAUGUCGAUCUCAUAUCCACCCCUUAUCAAAGGGAUGUUUGUCUGUGUCUCAAAUCAGGUAUAUAUAUCUUUAGGGACUGUAAUACAAAUUAAGCUAGUAUCUGGGGUCUGAGUCUAUAAACAGACCAAGUAACGGUCAUCAAAGUUCACUGAAAUAAGUUUUAUGUCACAAAGCUCAGUACUGUUUGCAAACACGUGUUUUCAUAAAACUGACCUUCUUUUGAAAAGUCUGCACUGAAGGCCAGCCUACACUGGCCAGGGAAUAAAACAGGACAUGGAGAAUAUUUGCCCCAUUUCUGAUGUUCUAGUUCUGUCCUUUGCAAUCAUUAAAGACUGGAUUGGCUGUA